UACGAAGGGGGCUAGCGUUGUUCGGAUUUACUGGGCGUAAAGCGCACGUAGGCGGGAUCGUUAAGUCGGGGGUGAAAUCCUGGAGCUCAACUCCAGAACUGCCUUCGAUACUGGCGAUCUUGAGUCCGGAAGAGGUGAGUGGAACUCCUAGUGUAGAGGUGGAAUUCGUAGAUAUUAGGAAGAACACCAGUGGCGAAGGCGGCUCACUGGUCCGGUACUGACGCUGAGGUGCGAAAGCGUGGGGAGCAACAGG
rnacentral:rRNA from 1 species